AGGUAAUUUGUUGACUAGAUAAAAUGCAGUGGAGAAAGCCUCAACCCAAAAUUUAUGAGGAACUUUAGAGGCAGCAAGCAAUGUUCUAGUGGUCUCAGUUAAAUACCUAUAUUUCCUUUCAACACACCCAUUUUGCUCCGGUGUAUGAGAGCAGCUAAAUUGAUGUAGAAUACCAUGUUGAAGAAUAAAUGAAUUAAACUGAGAACUUAUGAACUCUCCCCCAGAAUCAGAAUGUAGAAUUUUUAUUUGAUUUCCAGUCAACUUCUCAACAUAGGAUUUAAAGUAUACAAAUAUGGAGAAGACCUCAGACUUUGACUUCAAAGGAAAAAACCAAUUUUAUUUUGUAAACUCAUCAACAAACAAGACAUAGAAUCGAUAUCCACUAACAAAAGAGAUGGGAGCAGGGCCCCAAACAUCACAAUGGACAAGUUUGAGACUAUGAGUAGUACUACUAGUGCUUACAGAGAAUGGCAAUUUGUGAUUUUUUCCAUUUGCACAAUCCUGACAAAAGAACUUUACAAACUGUUUACCAGUAUAAGCAAGUUUAUUUCUACAUAAGAUCUUCUUGAAAAUUGCAGAAGAGGGAUGACCAAAUCUCUUAUACCAAAGUUGUAAUGAUGUUGGAGUACCAACAUUAGCAUAGGAAGAUGUAGAUACUGGAUCACUGAUAGUAACAUGGGAAGUGCCUUGUACUGGAUAAAAACCAGAGCUAUCUGGCCCUGAAAAUGCAUAUUCCCCGUAGAACGAUCCUUGAUUGUGGAACCAUCAGAAUCAAGGAUUAAUUUGCAGUAAUUAUCCUUUAAAAAUUGAUAGGCAAAAAGAAGAUUAAACUUCAUUUGAGGAACAUGAAGAACAUUAUUCAACUUAAAUGCAGCAACUGAAGUUUUAAGAACAGAAGUACCAGUGUGGUGAAUAGGCAUACCUUGACCAUCACAGAUAUAAACCUUGUCUUCACCAUUAUAAGCCAUAGGAGAAUGAAUGGUAGAGAUAUCAUUCGUGAUAUGGGAGGUAGCGCCAGAGUCCAAAAUCCAAGUGGGAGAAGAAGACUUAGCAGUGGUAUGAGCACACAUUGCUGCCAAUUUUGCCAGUGGAGUUUUUCCAGCAAAUGCAUGAUUCAUGCGGUCAAAGCAAUCAAUAGCUUCAUGGUCCAGAGAGUGAUAGAUUUGACAGGGAACUCAACCACCAGAGUGCUGGCGAUAACCUCCUGAAGAACGGUUUUGAUUGUAAGAGUUGCCUCGAUAAUUGUUGAAAUUGCGAUUGUUGCCACGAUUGUUACUACAGUAAUUUUUGGAGAUAGAAUACGGUGCAGCAAAGGCUUGUGGAAAAGCAUUGAAUUGUGGCGUUGGAAGAAGAGGAGCAUGAGAGUGCUGAGACUAAGCAACAAAGGCUUGAAAAGGUUCUAUAAUUGCUGCAACAACAAAUUUCUUCUUUCGAUUCAUAAAAAGUUCUUUGUUGAUCAACAGGCCAUGAAGUUCAUCAAGAGAUGUGGAGGAAAUUCGCAGCAUGAUAGAGUCAAUAAAUGACUCGUACUUGUCAGAGAGACCAUUGAGUGUAACUACAAUGAUAUCAUGAUCGGAAAUUGGCAUGCCGGCAACCAUUAUAACGUCUGAGAUACUCUUAAUUUGCUGAAGGUAUUCAGAUAUUGCAAGAUCACCUUUCUUAACCGAGUGAAGAUGAGUGCGGAGCUGGUAAAUGUGUGCAACUGAAACUCCACCAAAACGUUGUUCAAGAUUCAACCAAAGUUUUCAAGAAAAGGAGACUCCAACGAUGAAAGGUAUGAUUUCUUCAGAAAUAGUCGAAUUCAAUCAGAUGAGGAUGUUUUGAUCCUUCUCAUACCAAGCUUCAAAAGCUGGAUUCGGAACACCAGUGCUUUGGCAAAGGAUAUCAAGCAUAUAUGGCGGUGGACAUGCUUCAGUGCCAUCAAGAAUUCCAAUAAGCUUGUACCGGCGAAAAAUUGGAGCAAAAAGCAUCUUCCAGAUGAGAUAAUUAUCUCGUUUAAGCUUUGUUCGAACCAUACAACUGAUAUUCUAGACUGUAAUAGAAGAAUUGAUGAAAUUGGGGGAUUAGGGUUAGGGUUCAUCAGAGAAGAAUUGGGGGCGAGAAUGUCAGGAUUCAUCUAAGACGAAGUUGAAGAUGUCAUCGGAGAAGCAGAGAUCAAAGAUCAAGAAGAACAGAGAUUAGAGAGCAAGAAUUGAAAGAAAAUCGAUCAAGAUUUGUAGGUCGGUGAAGUUACGAAUCAUAGGAUGUUGGUGAGGAUCGCGAAGAGGCGGUUGAUACCAUAUGACAUUUAUGAACUGUUAUGUUUUCAUUGAAUGAAAGAAUGUUUACAAUUGAGUAUAUAUACAUCUGUAAAUAAUGAUUAGCACCUAAUCAAGUGUAACUAAUUACAUUAAGACAAAAUUAGUUACACAAAACAAACAGAAAACUAUUAUGCUGAGUUGGAAUGUGUGUUAAUAUGUUGCACGUGUCUGUUUAAUCCCUGAAAAAGAGUUGAUUUUAGCUUUCCGGAGUUGAAUAAUUAAGCACUGUAUCAGUUUAAGAAUUGAGGAUAAUGCUUUCUUCUUGUUCUUGUUGUUAUAUGCAGGGCUUCUUGAAUUGUUCAUUUCUGUUUAUCACUAAAAGAGAGUGGCAAAGACACCUGCUUGAGAAAUGAUGUCGUCUGAUAGGGAAGAUAGAAGGUUCAAUUCAGAGUGUAAAAGAGCGGAUUCUGUAAAAGAGAAGUCGAUAUUGGAAGUUAUGGAGAAGCUCUCACUCUCAGAUGCAAAAAUGGAGCCACUGCAUCCAAACAUUGAUUUCCAGAUUACACAUGCCGAUGGGAGAUUAUGCUUUAGGAACAAUGGCGAAGUGUUAUUGAUGCUUAUUGGAGGAGACCUUCACUGUUUCGGUAGUAUCAUCAAAAUAUCAAAGCAUGAACUAGUUUCCCUAGAACUUGUAAACAAAGAAUUGAAAAAUCUUGGGAUUUCUCGAUAUCAAUAUUGCUCUGUCGAUUCUUAUGACGAGAGCCUCUUCUUACUCAACGAGACCAAGGCAGUUUCUUACUAAGAAAAAGAGCAGGUACUUGCUCUUUGCCUACGAAUAGGACUUCAUGUCGAAUUCCACUGCGUUCUUCAUGUUUUUUCUGUUUUCCUGUUUUGUUUACGUGAUUGUCUACCUGCUUUUGUUUUCUUUUGUUGCACAUCAUUCAAAAGCUGAUUUAAUUUUUGAAUUUUGCAUGCAAAUUUUAAUCAGAAAUUCUGGUGUAUUUUGUUGAGUAGUUCUAUGACUGCCGUAAACUUUGAAUGAAACUAUGCGUGAAUCUGGUUACAAAUUUCGAUUGCCGGUGGCGCUUGAAAGUUGCACCUGUUUCUGUGAAAUUAUCUACCAAGUGCUCGUCAUUUUCUUGUUUAUUUUCAUAGUAAAUUUCCGUGAGGUCAACGAUUAGCAGUAUUGCAGAUUGGCAAAGUUUGGUAUUUGUAGGUGAUUUGCGUCCGAAACCUAAAUCAAUGUACUAAAUUUCUGUUGGUCAAUAGUCAGUACGAUUAUCACUUUGAUGUCUAUAGCUUGAUCCAUAUUGAAAUUUGUACGAUUAUUAGAUAGUAUGUGACUGUUGACAUAAUGUUGUAUUGCAUAAGCAUAAACACUCGCGCAGUCAAGAAAAACAUGAUGCAUGAGUUGUGUGAAGUGUUGAGUUGUGAAUAUAUUCAGAAGACAUAGAAGGCUUUGGAUAUAUAAUCUGAAAAUUUGUAUAUGUUCGCUAGACGUUGGAGGAAAGACUUGAAUAAAUUUGGGUGUUGAGAAAAGGCCUAUAUGACAAGUGAAAAUUGAGAAUUAAAUUGAAAUUUGUGAUCAAGGGAUAGAUGGGUGCUAACUCAUAUCCUAUAGUAUUCAAAGUUAAGUGGUAUAAGUAUGGUAUAAGACGUGCAAGCCAACUUGGGUGCCCUAGGUAAGUGUUAGCGAAAUUAGAAGGGAGUAAGAAUACAUUCAUGCAUCUCAUUUGUAUAAUUAUAAUGAAUUUGUGAGAUUAUAUAUUUUAAUUCUUAUUAGGUGAAUGCCUACUUCAUCGGUGGACUCAAGCGUUUAUUAUACUACGAUUUGUAACAAAUAAAUCCAUUUAAUUUUUUCUAAUCUUGUCUUGGUUGUAGAUCCAUUUUCUAUAGCGAAGCCCUUAACUCGUUAAUAGUAAUUACUAGCAAGACUACCCGCGCGAUGCUGCGGUGCUACGUCUUGCUCCUGUACAACCUUAUCUACAAAAGGAACAAUGAGCAGCGUUGAACUUAAUUCCAUCAUCAAUGCCUUGAACUUGUAGGAUCAAAAUUAAUAUAUAUACUAACAUAGACCCUAAAAUUUCUAUCAUAGCGAAAAAUAUUAACAUUGGGAAAAGGCAAAGAGAGGAAUUCUCAAAAGAAAACUGAGAGUAUGGAUCAUAUUGCAUGGAAAUCACAAACAGCAACCACAUCAAAAAUGAAGAAUAACAAUUGAAAAGGAAAAUAAUAAUCGAACCAUAACUGAAAUAGCUAUCUGGCUUUGAAUAUUACAAUUAUGAAGCAACUCUUAUAGGAUGAGUGAGUAGAACUUACAACGUAGUUAGGAGUUACAAUGCAGUUAGGAGUGUUCCAUCUCGCUAUCAAUUUGCUAAACCAAGAUCAUCUAUACCAAAUGACAACAUUUUAAUCCUUCAAACUGCUCCUGGAAAAAAAAGUAAAUUAAAUGCGGGAAUCUAUACCUUAAGACAACGGAAAAAGUAGAUUAAAGCUGAAAAGUAUCAAACUUUACAACUUUCUCCAAAAGCAUAUAUCACUACAAAAGUAUCAAUGUUUCGCAUUAAUCAUAAACUAUGCAAAAUUAUUUCAUAUUUUCCAAUGAAUUUGAAACCCUGAAAUUGUCAUAUUUGGACAUUCUUUACUCGAAAUUUAUUCAAGAAGCACUUGUCAAAUGUUCGACACAAUUUAGGAAUUCAAACAAAAUCCACAGUGCAAUGAUCACAAUCGUCGAGACCAACAUUUGAAAAAUGUAGAUAAAUUCACUAAUAAGGCGUAUCAUAAAAAAUCCAUUGAGAUUGAGAUUACAGUAAAUUGAAAACAUUCUUAUUAAAAUAGCGUAAGUCACAAAACGCACAAUCAAAACAACAACAACAUAGAUUACUUUAAACUUGCAGAGACUCCAAAGGAAUACUGAACUCAGCUACAUCAUUAAAAAAAAUUGAAUAAUGGUAAAAAAAAAAGGAUCCAUCAGGAAAAAAAUUCUGACAUGAAAUUUAAUCAACAGAUGAAAUUCUUAAGUUACCCAAUUAGACCAACCAAGAAGAACCAGUCGUUAAUCAAGAAUUCACCAAAUAAAACAAUGCAAGAAUUGACCAAAUAAAUGAUGAAAAAGUGGAAGCUAAAUGCAUCCCUUUGUACUUCUUUUUAUCUCCUCAUCUUCCUAUUUGUAUAGUCCAAAAAGCUGAAAUCAGAAUUGCUUCAAAUAAUUUGCCAGAUUUUACAAUUCGAAUGUGCUCACAGAUACUAAGAUCAUAAUUUAACCAUUCUAUAUCACUGCGUAUCAUUUCUUUGUCAGUUUUUUUAUUUUUAUUUUUUAUAAAUCAAAUCUAAAAACCAAUCUCAAUGGAAAAAAUAAAAAACAACACUUCUUAUCUCUAUACGUAAUUUAAUCCGUACAGUCCAACGACUAAUCAAAUGAUCAAACAAAGCAAAAAAACUAAACUGAUCACAGAAUUUAAUCAGCAGAGCAAAGUCAGUGACAGUGAAUUUUUAAAUCACAUGUGCUCAAAGAUAACUAAUGACCUUGGUAUUUGCAAAUUGCGGAUAAACUGAUCUGGAAACAGAAGUUGUAGUAUUAGUUUUGUAACCUGCAAGUGAACAACAAUCUGUCAGGCCAAUACUAUUAUGUUUUUGCAUUAAUCCACAUGAAUAAGACAGACUGCAAUGCAUAGGUUUAACAAAUCAAACAUACAUCUAACCCACCUGAGAUAAAACUCAAACAUGUAAAAACAAUUUGUGUCUUUCAAGGUAGCCAAUAUAUGGAUUUAUCCAUUGACAUUGAGUUUAAGACGGAAGAGAUUUUUGAACUGUGAAAAAGGAAUAACACCAAUUGAUAUGACAACCAACACAAUCAGAAAAAACUCUGUGAGAAUGUCAAUUUAUAAAUCACAUGUACUCACAGAUAAAUAACGAUCUUGGUAUUUGUGAAUUAAGGAUAAGCUGAUUUGGAAUCACAAUUUGUAACAUUAGUCUUCAGACCUGUAAGUGAGCAACAAUUUGUCAGAGCAAUACCAUUUUGUUUUUCCACUAAUCCACAUGAAUAAGACAAAUGCAGAUACACAGGUUUAACAAAUCAAACAGACAUCUAACCCAUAUGAGAUAAAACCCAAACAUGUCAAAAAAAUUUGUGCCUUUCAACGCAGUCAACACAUGGAUUUGUUCUUUGACAUUUAGUUUAAUGAACCAUUGCUCUUUACCACAUGGCUGCAAUUUUUAUAUACAAACAUUAGUCUUUUGACACACAUUUUCAAGAUUGUCUGCACGUUCAGCAAAAGCACAUAGGCUUCCAAAAUUCCAACGACCCUUUAAUUUAUUCUCAAAAAUUCCAAAUCCAUUUUAAUCCAUACUGGAAAAAAGCAUAACCAUAAAAAACGCACCCAAAUAAUUUUAAAACAACUGCACUCACACAAUUUAUACCACCAAGAACAUAAAAAAAAAAAUUAAAUCACAAUCUAAACUAAUGUUUCCUCUCCUCCUCUCUGUGUUUGUAACCCCAGCAUAAAACCCAGAAAAAACAAACCUUCACACAACCUCAACAACUCCUCCCAUAUUUUCCCCAAAAACUACGACUCCAUUUAAAUCCAAUAAUUAUCAAUCCAUGUCCGAACCGAAAAAAAAUAGAAGCGCAAAAAACAUACCCAAAAAAUUACAGCAGCAUUGCAUAUGCCAUCCGAGAUUUGCCAACCGAAGAACGAAAAUGCAAAAUUCUCUUUUAACAGGGAAAACCCAAGAGAGCACCACAACUGGCAAUAAAAGGAAACGAUUAAGGUUUCAUUGAAACAAAGGAAAAAUAAAAAAUAAAAACCGAAAGAAAAUGAUUAUAAAAUAUACCUUGGCUGAAUCACACUUGUUCCACAGUGGGGUGGAAAGACGCCACCCCUGAAAAGGGCUGGAAAUCGGCCAAAAUCAUAGCCACAACCCAGAAAUCCAAAACGGAAAAAAGGGGCAAACAUCAGGAAUUCAUUACCCUGGAUCAGAGAUGUCGAAACCCUCGGAACGCAAAAAAACCCCAAGUGUAAAUAGACGCAUAACGGCCCGGCAACCACAAAGUCCCUUAAACCACAAAAAUCAGCAAACCUUUCUGCGAAACAAAGAACGGAGACCACAUAGAAGUAGAGGAUUGGAAGAAAGAACGGGCAAAACGAAAAGACCAAAGCCGAAAUCAGGAAAGGCAACGAAGGAACAAAACCCUAACUCGUUAAGAAGACUCUCGAAGUCGAGAGAAUAAGGAUGACCGACACGUGGAAAACAGGGGCAAAAACGUCUCUCCGGCGCAUGAAGCAAGCGAGACAAACGGAAAGAAAACAGAGAAGCAAGGGCAUUUCCGUCCGGACAUUAUUAAUGAAUAGUGCCGUUUCCAACCCAGUUUUAGUAUAUAUAAUUUGCGAGCCGGGCCUAAUUAACAUUGCCGCAAUUAUAUAAAAACCUAUUUUAUGAGAAAAAUGUAUACUUCCGUAUCCUACUAGUAGAUUGUUUUAUUAUCAAAAACUGAAUCCGGUUAGUAGUACUACUCAUUUUAUGAAACAAUGUGUAUAUAUUAUUUCCUACUACUAAUACUAAGUGGAAUUUGGAAACCUAUUCCGAACCGGACUAGGAGAAAGCAAGUUGAUCUAUAUAUAUGCAAGGUCGCGUCGAGUCUUUCACUCAAACAAAUUUCAGUCAAUCACUCUCGAUUUGUCCUACCUUUUCUAUUUCUUUAGCCAUGGCUCUGCGAAAUACUGCUGCACUAAUUUUCUUCGUGAUGAUGGUGCUUUCUGGUGUUUGUUUAGGUGAUGUUUAUAGAGUUGGCGAUUCUGAUGGGUGGACAUCUCGAGGUCUCGUUGAUUACAACAAGUGGGCUUCAACAAAAGAGUUUCAUGUCGGCGAUACUCUUAUAUUCGCUUACAAUAGUCAAUACCACAACUUGAUGCAAGUUACCAAGCAAGAUUUUGAAUCUUGCAAUACUACCGCUGCGAUCACAGUUUAUACCUCUGGUUCCGAUACCAUCACCCUUAGAAGGCCCGACCACUAUUACUUUCUUUGUGGUGCUCCAGGCCACUGUCAAGCGGGACAAAAGGUUGAUAUCAAGGUUACACUUCCUAUACCGCAGAGUUCGCUGGCAAGUCCUAACCCGGCACCUCAGGAAUCUUUGCCUUCAGAUUCUCAUCCAAACUCAAAUCCAAGCAGUGCCCCGACUAUUUAUUUUUCGAAGCUUGGGUUGGCCGUUACCACUCUUGUGCUAUGUCUUUUGAGUGUUGUAUUUUAGAGACAUUUUGUUGUUCUUUUAUUUUUUAUAACGAAGAUUGCUUUGUUGUUUAUGAUUUGGGUGGAUAAACAUUGUAAAUUUUUUUUUUUUUAAGAUUAAAUAAAUGUGUUGUUAUGGAUGAAUAAUUACUCGUUUCCGAGUAAUUAUAUUAUGAAAGGUUUGUCUUGUGCUUUCCGAAAAUCGUGUCGAUCCAUGGCAUAAGGCUUGUGAAGAUUAUAUGACACUCCAUAUAUGAUAUAUGAAUUUGCUCUUUAGAUGGAAUAGAAGUCUCAAAGUUUUAAUAUUUUAUAUGAUAAGAAGAAAUUAAGUAGUGUGAUUUUAGUUAUAUUGUAUAGAUAUUGUUCUCAACUUAUACAAUUUGUGAAAUUCAAUUAUGAUCAUUUAGAAAGAAAAAAUUUAUACACAUUUGACCUUGUUUUAGUGAGCUUACAUAAUGAUUUCUAACAAUCGUGUCGAUCCACAGCAUAAGGCUUGUCAUUGUCAAUAUUAUGUAUGACAAUCCAUAUAUGAAUUUGCUCUUUAGGAGGAAUAGAAGUCUCAAAGUUUUAAUAUUUUAUGUGAUAAGAAGAAAUUAAGUAGCGUGAUUUUAGUUAUGUUUUAUUGAUAUUGUUUGUAGCUUUUACAUAGUUCGUGUAAUUCAAUUAUUAACGUAGAAAGAAAAAAUUAUACACAUCUAAACCGUAGACUUAUUAGGCACUACGAUAGGAAAGGGUUGUUCAGUGUGAAAAGCGCAUAUCAUAAUGCCAGGGACUGGGUUCAAUCUCGCAGGGAUGCGCCAUCUUCGUUCGCUGUCUCCAAUCCUUUUGGGGCGUUGUGGAAAAAACUAUGGGCUGCUUGUGCUCCACCUAAGGUAAAGAUCGGGCUGUGGAAAAUUGCCCUUGACAUCAUUCCUACUCAUGAUAACCUUAGGAGAGGCGAGUCGAGAGUCGAGACCGAACCGUACUGUGUUUUGUGCGGUUCUUACGGUGAGCAACGACAAGAAAAGCCUAUAGAAUCAUGAGGCACACCUCGAAUGUAUGCGAAUUGAGGUCCGCAGCCCAACUCGCCAGGCAAUCUAGGAUAGAUGAGGAUCGAGAAGGGGUGGGUGGGUAACCCAUUGGAGAUGCGGGCCACAUGCAUUUUGCGAAAGAACAGCUUCUCAUAAGGAGAAAGCUUAUUUCUGUCAGAUAUUUGCAAAAAAUCUAUCAGAAAUUCAUGUAGUGACAGAUAAAAUAACCGACAACAUUGCUUGCGUCAUGAAAAGUUUUUUGAUGUCGGACAUCCCAUUUUAGAAAUUAAUUAAGGUGUAAAUCCUAAAUUUUUUAUUUUUUAUUUUUUGAUACUUCAAUGAAGUGAGGUAGGAUAAAAGGAAUGAGGAUUCACUUCGUAUCCUCCUUGUGAGGAUUUGGGAAUCCUCUAAUCGUAUCCAUUUAUUAUACAUCAUAGAUCAAAAAUUAUUUUAAAUAUUUUUACUUUAAAUUAAAUAUAAAUAAUAUCUUAUGAAAAUUGGUCGUACAAUAUACGAUUAACGACACGAUUAAGAUCCUUAAAAGAGUUAUCUUUCAAUUGUGCCAAAGGAAACAUAAUCCUAUUUUACAGUAAUCGUUUCUGGUGACUUUUUCUGAGGAUAAAGUAGCGGCGGAAGUUGAACCCCAAAAAGAGUUCAAAAUUAGGGUUUAAAGAGAUAGGAGUCGAACUAUCAGGACUAGAGCUUUGCAGUGAUACCCAUUGGGAGGAGGCUCUGAGUUCUGCAUUCGCCAUCGAGGUUCAAUUUCCAAAGCAGGACUCUGGGUAAGUAAAUUUUGAUCUAACCAUCACCCAAAAGAAACGAAUUCGAAUUUGAAAUUCUGUCGAAAUUUCCUUUUACUCCCUUUCGUUUUCCCUUUAUGCUUUCAAAUUUCCUCUUCUGGGUCGUCGUUUUUAUGAUUUGUGCAUAGAAGAAAUCAGUUAUUUUGGGUUUGUUUGUUUGUUUGUUUGGUUUACCAAUUUAGUUCUGUGUUUGGUUACUUGGAAAAUGGAGGGAAAAUCGAGAGAAAGAUGAUGACUUUUGGAACUUUGGGUUGGGUUUUAUAAUCUUGUCUUCUUUCAGGUUCUGAAAUGUGAAACAAACGAACAUUUGUUGUUGGGUAUAUUUGUUUGAAGAAAGUUAAUUAUUGUUGCAAGAGAAUUCCGAUUCGAUAAGAGAUAAUCUCCGUCGGAUACCGGUAUAGGGGUUUGAGGCUGUGUGGAAAUUGAUAACAGUGGUAAUGCUACUGUAGGAUCACCUUUUUCGAGUCUCUGGUUUUCGUGUGGUGUUGUACCUUUCUGUUUAAUUGAAGGAGAGUUGAUGUUAUCUUUUUGAAGUUGAAUAAUAAGCAUUGUAGAUGUCAGUUUAAGGACUGUGAGUAAUGCUUUCUUCUUGUUCUUAUAUGCAGGGGUUUUGAUCGAAGAGAUAAGUGUAAGGGUGGCGAUAACAAGUUGAACUGAGCUACUUUCGAAAUAUUAACAGAAACCAUUUUGGUCCAUCUCUGUUUAUCAAUAAUUAAGCUUCUGAAGUUGUUUGUUUUACACCAGAAACAUCCAAUAGGAAAUUCAGUAGUUCUUUGCAAUGAAUUCUGUUUUCUCAUCUCACUCUCUUUUCGUUUCCUUGCCUAGAUGUCAGUUCCUGCCUUGUAUUCAAACACAACCUCAACAUGUGGUCAUAAACCGUGUUUAUCGCCGGAAUCAUUGUGUCCCACAUCUUUCUCUUUCAUUUCCUUUUAUUGCACAUCAGUCUUUGCAUACUCGCCAAACACCUUUUGGUGCCACGGCUCCAUCAAAUGAAGGCGUAGUGUCUGUAAUCAACUUUGACGAUUUUGCUGAGAAAGACUGGUCCUUUCUUGAUUCAGGUGAUUUCAGUUCCAACCAAGAUUAUAACCUUAAGAUUGAUCGCAUUAUAUCCGCAGGAGAGAUUGAAGAAGCUUCAAGGGUUAUGGUUUCAAUUGGUUCUGAAGGAUUUGUGGAUCGGUUGGUUGAAUCAUCACCCUGCAGUCUCCUGCUUGUUGUCCAUGAUUCACUUUUUGUUUUAGCUGGCAUUAAAGAAAAAUAUGACAAGGUUAAGUGUUGGCAAGGAGAAUUGAUAUAUGUACCUGAUAAGUGGGCGCCCUUAGAUGUUGUGUUCCUUUAUUGCCUUCCAGCCGUGCCCUUGAAGCUUGACGAAGUGUUUAAAACACUUGCAAGGUGUUUUACACAAGGUGAUUUUCAUAAUAUCAUCCAUUUUUCUUUUCAUUCAUGCUUGAUAUAUACUACUGCUUCUCAGCCUUAAUGAAAUGUCAUUAAUUGGUAUACACUCGUCCUAACAUUUCAUUCAGGACUCACCCAAAGUUAUACGUAUUUGCCUGUAUGAAUCCAUAAAUUGAAAGUUUCGUGUUAAAAUUAGUAAGGAGAAAUUUUUUUGGAGAGUGAUAAAUCUACCAUUAGCUGUUGCAUUCUUUCAAUGUAUCACUCUUGAGUCUGAGUUGUGGGUGUUCCUCGUAUAGGUGCGAGACUUGUUAUUAGCCAUCCCCAAGGAAGAGAAGUUUUGGAGCAGCAACGACGACAGUAUCCAGAUGUUGUAACUUCUGACUUGCCUGAGAAGAGUACUUUAGAGGAAGCGGCAACCGAACAUUCUUUCGAAUUAACCGAAUAUGUUGAUGAACCUUGUUUUUAUCUUGCUGUAUUAAAGUUUGUUGGGGCAAGAAACUGAUGGUUGAUUUAAACUUUGACAAUUUCAUGUGCAAGAAACAGUGGAUUCAAUUGAAAAUUUAUAGAUUCACACAUCGUUUUAUUUUUGAAGACUGGUUCUUUUGCCCUACUCCCUGCCUUAUGUUUCUUUUCGGCCAUUUAACCCUUGUGCCGUGCUGAGCAAGUUAGGUAGCUUUCGCUUGCCUCUGUUCAAAAAUUGGACUCUCGUUGAAGGUCAUUGAACUUACUGAACUUCGAACUUGGAAUGAGCAAGGAGGAAUUAACAAUACUUUUCAUCGUUUGAGUUGUUUGCGGGACUGGUUGCUCAAAAACUUUGGUUUCUAAUCCAACCCAAUGAGAAAAAAUGGUAUCACGUCUUAUGGGCUCGUUGGGACUCAUUCUGGUCUAGUUAAUAACCGAUUAGAAGUAGAAGGUGCUCCGACACGAUCCUUCCGAACGAAAAACAAGGGGUUGCAAUUAGUUUGAUAAUGAUCGAGUGAUGGUGAAGAAGUCCUUGACCAACAACCAAUAGAGGAAGAUUUAUUCAGUCACAGAUGGUAAACAAAAUUUCAAGCCAUCAAAAUUUGAUGGAAAACUCAAAAGAUUUGCACUCAAGACAUAACACAUAAAUUCCUCAUCAUAUAAGCUCCAUUAUUUUCAUCAUCCCAGAAAAUUCUUUUAAUAAAAUGCUUUAGGAGGUUCAAAAUCCUAAAACAGGCUCUAAAAUACAAGAGUAAACUUCCAUACCAACAAAUUCUUCAUUAAUUAAAGAACAACGAAAAAGAAAACUCUUCAAACAUUGUAGCACUCUCCCAACCUUUUUCUCUCUACUAUAGGAAAAACAAAAACCAACGGGGCAAAUCGAUAAACGCAAAACUAUUGAGCUAAAAAUUGGAAUUUUUCAAAGGAAGAUUAUUGAGUACCAAGUACCGCAAACCUUCAUCUCGAUAUAAGAAGAUAGGGACUGCAUAUUCCUCAACAGCCGCCUCACACCUUCUUACCUCAGAAGAAUUGAAACCUUAUGCCAUUACUUGCUGCAAACAGGUUGUAUUCUUCAAUGGUAGCCUCCUUCUUGUAACAUGCCUGAUCAUUCUCAACAUGAUCCGAACAUUUUAAAGGAGAAUCCGUAACAGUCUGUUCUUUCGAAGGCAUAUAUCCCGGUGGAUUAGCAACAGGGCCACCAUAAUGGAAUAAGGAAAAGCCAUCAUUGUUCGUAUGCAAUUUUCCAGAAUUAUCAUCGUUCGCUCUUUCUCCAGUUGGUGUUGCUUGCCUUGAAUGAGCUCCAGAUGGAUCCACACUCUCUGUACUAGCUUCAUUAGGAUAGUCUUGCAUACACGGGGUAGAUAUCUGAGUUUGCUCCUCUCUGUUGAUGACUGGCUGAUAAAUUGGAACGGAGCCAGGGGUAGUAAACAAGGGAGGUAUGUGCUGCACAGGAUACUGCAUGCAGAAGCCUGAAUUUCCAUUUAUACCAUACCCAAGAGGACCAGCAUAUAAGUAAUGGUUCGGAAAUGUUAGCAUUCCAUUUGCUGGAGCAGCAGGCCAUGAAACUGGACUUUGGUGAUAGUAACCCAUUGUUGAAGGACCUUGAAACACAGGAAACUGUACAUUUUGGUUAUGCAUCAGAGGAAGCAUGCCAUGAUGCUGUGAACCCACAUUAACAGCAGACAAACCACUAUCAAAACUCUGAGCAAUUUUUGUUGAUGGAUUCCCAAAAAUGUUACUCCCUGCUCCACUCAGAGAAGGACCAAUCGGUGUCCUGCUUUCGAUAGACUCUCCUUUUGCACUCUGAUUAUUCUCCAUACCAACUUCAUGGUCUCGGAAACCAUUUGGAAUGAAUAUAGAAGUUUCCCUUCCUCCUGAUUGCUGGCUGGCAUCUUCUGAAUCUGAUGUGGAUGAAGAUUCCUGAUGUCCAUGAUGUGACGAGGUUGUAUUGCUAUCUCCCUCACUUAGGCAUGACGAGCAGUUAUCAGAAUUAGAAGUACUGCUGACAGUGGGGUCAGAAGUUCCAUUUGAUGUAGAGUCAAUGGAAUUAAGUACAGAACCGGUAGGGCAUAAUCCAAUCUCCUCAUAAGUGGCUUUUGUUGAGUUGCAAGAAUCCUGUGCUCCUGCAUGAAAUCCACUCUGACAGUUGACAUCCAUUCCUGUGCUGGAUUUUCUUGAUUCCUUCAAGUUAUUAUCCUCAUCAAUCUCACCUGCAUCUACCCCAUCUUCACCUGCACAUAUAUCACCAGGUGACUUCACGAUUUUAUCUUCAUGCUUGAAAGCAAAUGACCUCAAGGUAACAUCGGAGUCUGAGUUACUUCUAGGAUACAUGGGCUCCCAAAUUUUCUUGGGAUGAACCAAAUCUCUACUAGGAUUGUCCCCAUAAUUGACUUUGCUUUUGGGUCUUACACAACUAUCACGCAAGUCUCCUACUUGGUUAUACCUGUUACCACGAUAGAAUUGCUUGGACAUAUCUAAUGCAGAUUCUGACUUACUUGCAGUUUUAGUAUCCCAUCCCAAUCUGGCAGCAGAAACAUGGGGUUCUACCUUUGCUCUAUAUUCAGUGUUUUUGUUACAGCUGCAAGAAUUGAAGUCGUAUCUGUCACUCAUCCUGUUACUUGGGGAGAGAAACUUCUCAGUAAACUUAGGACCACUAUGUCGACCACUGGACUUCGGGCCAUUCACUCUUAAUUGCCUAUUUGAUCCAUUGAUGACCCUUGAUGGAGUCUCAAAAUUGUCAGCAUUACAUCUCGACUCAGAUCUACUAACCACAGAAGCACUGUCUGAAACAGUGGCAUAUCUGUGUCGGUCAGACCACUUCAAAGAUGCAUCUAGUUGAGCUUCUCUCCUAUAUUUUAAUCUCCGUCGUGAAAACUUUGAUUGCUCAACUGUAAAAGAACCAGUAUCACCUCUUCCAUUGGUGAUUUCACCAUCAGGACUUUCAUAACAGUGGUCUUCACUUUUUAAAAUGAUAAAAUCUUUUUGGAACUGUUCAUCACGUGUCUCAGGAGAUCCAGGCCUAGAUAAAAUCUGAUCAUCAGCUUCAAUAACUGAAUCCUUGCAGCUAAUGGAACUAUUAGGCUCCUCAUCAGCAUGUAGUGAUGAUUCUUCCUUGGAGACAACAUCAAGAGCAGGAGUUUCAUUUACUUCAGAACAUUCCAUAUCUUUGUCUUUUUCUUUCCCUUUCAACCUCUCCUUUCUUCGCAAUUUUUUCUCUCUUUCUUUUGUUCUUCUCCUCUCUUUGCGCUCUUCUUCUUCACGCUUUUCUUUUUCUUCCUCUUCUAGAAGCUUCAUCUGUAGAGAAAAGGUGCAAAGUCAUCAGAAGUGUUUCUCCUAAAACGUAAAAUGGCUCCUCAUUUUUCUACCUAGUAUGUUAUCUUUGAAUAUAUAACAAGAUUUUUACGGCCCGAAAUAUAACAAGAUUUAAGACCUGCUUUUCAAGAGUAAUUAUAUCUUUGCAGGCAACAUGAACUCGCUCUUCCAGCAGUUUUAGUGCAAGACAAACAAAGAUGCUAUGUGCAUUUUGACGAGCUGUUCCUUCUCUAAAUGCUUUUUCCACCUGAAAGAUUGACAUUCACAAUCAGACAGAGAAUACUUAUAUUACAGUCACACACAACAUGCAUACUAAGAAAUCUGCCAGCAAUGCGCACACACACACAUAGUGAGUAGUUUUACAGCAUCAUGCCAACAUAACUCCGAACUCCAAAAAUCUAAGCAUCUCUGCUAUGAAGACAUUGUGUGCAACGUGCAGCCACACUCACUUUCUUUUGCCUUUUUUCCUCUUGUUGGCCAAGACUACAACCUAACAUUGAAUCUUUAACCCUCUCCCUACCGUAGUUUCUCCAAGGAAAACACAACUUUUAAAUACCAUUUCCUCAAUAGUUAAAUAAAAAGGUUUAAAUAGUAACAAUACCGAACUAUUGUGAUUGCAUUCCCUAGGCACCAUUGACAACACCACUAUUUGACAUCAUUCCUAGCAUAGAAAAUAUAAUUUCUCUCUUACUUUCCACAUUGCACCCAGAUGUCUUAUAGACCGAAUUGUAUACUACCUAACUGAGGUUUAAGAAUACAAUAUGGUAUAUGAAGGAUCUUAAUUUAUGUUAACACAGGUAAACAAACAAAGGAGCUGAGUUUAUAUAAUGAACAACGAUAAACUUAACACACAACAACAUCAGCAGACUGAACAUGCCUGUUCCUUGAAAAUAACAGUUGCAGCAUCUAGUAGAAAUUCUCGAGCAAGUUCAGGACUCUUCGCAUGUUUUUGCGGACGGGAGCAUUCUCCAUCCAGUUCAUUUCCAUCUUUGUCCAUAGAAUCAUCAUCCUGAAAAACACAUUAAAUAACAACACUUCUUUAGGUCUAACCCCGUAAGAUAUAAUAUAAAUCUCAACUGUUUCUGGAGAACUGAGAACAUAAAUAAUAACACUAAGCCUUUAGGGAUCUUAACUACCUCUUCUUCCUCUGCCUCUUCAGCAUGCUCAAAAAAUCUUCUAAUACUUUCUCCUCUUGUGAUUGUUACAUAGCCAUCUCCGACAAUAAGCCUACAGUGAACACAUUCUUGACCCUUCAAUGCAUGAGCUUUUACAGAAAGCUCGGUGCAACGGCCAUCUAGUUUCCAAGCCCUCAGGGUAAUGUAGCAUGCACUUAAACCACCGAGAUCUAGACCAUUGACCUUCACACUUCCAUUCAUGCCAACAUUUUCAAAUUCCAGAAUAUCUGAUUUUCCCUCGCCUGUUCCAACUGCCCACUCAAAAUGAUGGUAUGUACCAACAGUGUCGGCAAAAGUAUGGCGCCAAUCAGCUUGUACUGAGGCAUCAGAUACCUGUAAUGACAGCAAAAAAGAGAUUAAAACGACAGUCGCAUCAUCCGUACUUAUAAAAAAUGGUUCAACUAUCAAAAAAAAAUUCUCACUAGUCUGCUCUUGAAAAACUUGAGAACACAAAAAUCACAACAAAAACCAGAGAAAAGAACAAAAUUAAAGAAACAUAUGAGGCCACACCUCAUACUGAAAUGCGGUGUCUGCAACACAAAACCAAUUAGUGCAGCGAGGUUCCCUCCUCAAGCGCUUCAGCUCCUUUAGCUCCUUGAACUCACGAAUCACAUUCCUUCUGCAAUCUCUGCAAAAUCUCUUGCUAUCAAACCUGUGACAGGAACAUCAAAAUCUUAAGACAACCCAGAAUAAAAGUAAAUGAUGAGGACUUUUAGGAUAUCCAAACUUAAGGAAGUAAUUGCUGCAAACAUAACUCUAGACUAGGCAAUUUUAGAGGACAAAAUAACGUAUAACUUCAUGCUACAUACAAAACGGCCAGAUGUUGCAACAUGAAAAGCCACUGGUAGAUUAAUCAUUCACGCUAUUACUUUUUAUUCACCUGCAUAUGUUUUGGUGAGGAUUUUCAAAUACCGUCAUAAUAGUUACUAUGCGCAUGAACCCAAAUUCAAAUGUAAUUCAAAGAAAAGAGUAUGUUUCAGGCCUAUGUAAAGCCUUCAAGGAUGCGUCGGCUAAUAAUGGGCAGCUAUUGUACCAAGUGAACCUUCUUUUCUCUUCCCUAUUAGCUUCACCAGGCUGAACAUCCUCAAUAUCAUUACUAAUCUUGCAGUUCUAAUAACCAAAACUUCCUCCACAAACCAUAACUAAACAUACAGCGCUUCUCUCAACCAGAAAGAAGAAAUACAUCACUUCCACUAUUUUAUAUUGAAUCUCUUGAGAAAGGGAUACAUGAAUAGCUAAACACCUGUACAUGAGCCUCUCAAUAAAAUCCUCUUCCUUCAUCCUAAGAAGAGACUGUCGAGUUUCUUCUCCAAGUGCUGACCAGAAAUCAACCAAUGUAUCGCAAGAAAGCCUAGCAGUGUGCAAUGCACAAGUUUCUCUUGUUCCAUGUCCUCUGCCAUAACUUGCCAUUCCUUGGCUUAUCCAACCCCGACCUCCCCCGCCACAUGCAUCAGGAUAAAGCAACUCACGUUCUCGUUCUCUUGCACGUGCACUGUCAAACACCUAAUUCAAGCAAAAAACAAAAAAAAUCAGCUACUAGAAUGAAAUUGGCUUGUACACCAAAGUCAUGAAAUAAUAAAAUUAUAACUUACAUUUUGAAGUCCCUUGAGAGAAUUACAAUACAAAUAGCAAUCAAUCAGCGUCAAUGACCCCUCACGCGUUAUGGUUAGACCACCCCAAGGAUGGACAGAUGGAUCUGGUAUUUCGUCAUGGCACCCAUUACUAAUACUUGAUCCACCAUCAUUUUGAUUUUUGGGGGCCCUUGACCUGUUGCAGGAUAGUUGCUCGCAUGUUCCCUCCUGCUUCAAAGACUUGCCAUACAUGACAAUCUGAAAAAAACCUUCAAGCAGUAACCCAUUGCAUCUAGAGCAGUACAUGUUCUUCCGAGCUUGUUCAAAAAGGGUUUGCUUGUCAAUCCUGAGAAGCUUCUGUCGAGCUUGUGGUAGAUCACUCCAAAACUACAUCAAAGGUAUAUAGAACUUCGUAAGAGACUUGUCAGACAUCAAUGAGUAAAAAAAAAAUGGAAUAAUUAUAGGUUAUUAUACAAUCCAUAAAUUCCCAAAUGUUAGUAUUACUACAAGGAACUUCUUAUUCAAUCCCAACUGCAAAUACCAUCAAACGAACCACAGUUUUAGGAUCAGUAACUGGGAAAUGAUAUCAUUUAUCAAGAAGCAAUGAAUGCAACUUUUCUACCUGUAACGUGCUUGCAUCGAUGAAAGAGUCUACAUGUGUAUAUCUGUGAAUACGUUCUAAGUCCAAGCCUGUAAGCAUUACUAACUUACUAUAAACUAAGCAAUAAAGGUGCACUAAACUUGGUAUAACCAGACAGCUUCAUUCAGAUAUCGCGCCUGGAUAAUACAAAAACAUAAAAUUUCUUUCUUUGUACUUACUUUUCUUCCGUUACCACGCAUGUGAAGAGCCAUUUGGAAACAAAAACAUAAUGAGAAACAUUCUCCUAUAACGGUACACAUUACGCAAUUAUUAACUCAAGUACAUAAUUACAGAUUAUAUUCUCACUAAGGACAUAUAUACAUACACACAAACAAGUAAAGUGGAUCUGAUUAACAAAACACCGAUAUUCCGACGAAAACUAGCUCUCCAAUGAACAAUCAAACAAGUACAAAUAGUACAAGAUCCAAUUCAAACGCAAAACACCCAUUUAAUUCGUUGAUCAAACACAAUAUGAAAACUAAUCCAAAUUAAUCUCAACCCAAAUUUAAAGAAAAAAUCGAAUAAAUUAAAAAAAAAUAGAGUACCCUCUGGAGCUGAUUGUAGCUAACAUCGCCACGAUGCUUGGACCAAAAUCCGUUGGGCGAAGAUAGUGAGUAAAUGGGCGACGACCCAUUACUGAAUUGGUCAUUUCUCUGAGCUAAACCGGGCAUAUUUGGUUCAAGCACUCAUAGAAUUCUCAUUCACCGGCUCUUCCCAUCCCCAGGCACGCGUUCGCCGUCCGAUUCGGAUCCAAUCCGAUCAAAAAUCAAGCAUUUAAUGAAUAAACAAACGAUAAUUAAUCUGGGGAUUAUAGAUCGAGAAGUUGACGGUUCUCGGAUCGAAAUGAAUUGCGUCGGAGGUGAAUCGGAUUGGGAUGGUGGGUUGAAUUGAAUUGGAUUGGAUUGGAUUGCAGGGGUGAGAAGUGAGAAGGGAUUCAGAGAGAAAGGGGGAUGCAAUGGGGGUUUUGGUUGAGGACGAUGAGAUUUGGUGCUGCGUAUAUAUUUGGAGAGCGAGGAGAGGGACAAGGGAAGGCUUCAAGGCUUUGGUAAUGGUAAGCUCUACGAGAGGCGGUUAAAACGAAAUGAGCCACAGAGAGAGAGAGAGAGAGAGAGAGAGAAAUACUGUUUUACGUUACAAAUUAACAGGAUUAAAAUUCCAAGGUAAAAUAAUUUCAUAAUUUGAUACUUUCUUUUCAAUCAUCUGUCCACAUACAUUUAUAUAUGUUGUAGGUAUAAUUUCCUGAACAAUUAUAGAAGCUUUAAAGAGAGGGGUGCGGCAAUAGGUAGAGAGAAUGAUAGAGAUGUGUAAUUGUGAUGUGUGUUCUAUUUCAUCCCAUUGUGCCUUUAUUUAUAGUAGUAGAGAAGGUUAAUUCCUUACCCUUUAGGAUUACAACAUUUAAUAGGUAAUCUACUCUUAAUAGGAAUAUAAGAGAUAUUCCAAAUUAUACUAUAAUUUACACAAUCACAUUCAUAAUCUAAUAGGACUGCAACACUCUCCCUUGGCACAUCAGGUCUUCAGUGAUGAAGUAAGUAUAGUUGAUGAAGUUGUCGGCACAAUAAGCAAAUGCAAGUCUCAAAUCAACGGAAGAAUGCAUAAAAAGGUAAAACUCACAAAACCUUGCUAUGGUAAAACCCAAGGUGGGAGAAAAACUCAUAGUCUAAGGAGAAAAGUGAGAAGUUGCAUUAAGUCAAAACUAUACGUCUUUUGGACACAAGUAGAAGAGCUCACAAAGGUAUGAUCAGCUCAAGAUAGGUGCCUCGUUAAAACCUAGUUAGGUAGCAAAAACCCAGUGGAAAAAAUGCUCCUAAUCGUAGGUAAAAAGAGUACAUUAAGAUCAAGUGAGUAUAUUUCUGGAUACUCCCCUGAAUUUGACAUAACUUCCAAAUGAGAACUACAAGCAUUGCAUAUGAAUAGUUAGGCAUACCAAUUCCUCGGACAAGCUUCUGGAAGGUUGACUUCGGCAGUGAUAUCGUAUAGAGGUCGGCAAGGUUGCUUGGGAUCGGCUUGCAUAACUUCAAUCUCAUGAUGCUUUGUUGAUGUAGAUGUAAACGCAAUAUGUCUUAGUGUUGACUUCAUUGAUGUAUCAUAGCUUGGUCGGGUUGAUACAUGGGGCAUAAUCUUCAUGGAUCGUCGUUCAGACUCAACGAUGGAUGAAAACAUAGCAAGUACUUCGAAUAUGCUCAACAAGAACUCCUAACCAUGUCUCACUUGUGACAUAGUGAAGUAAGGUGAGUCUUGGAACGAUUCAAAGAUUUCGCAACUAAGGUCAUAUCAUGGACCUCCAAGAUAUUGCGAUAUCCAUAACAGUAAAGAUAUAACCAUUUUGGGAUUUUGCCUUGUGCGGGUUUGAUAAGUAACCUGCAUCAGCAUAACAAACGAGGCAAGCAUAAUUUCGAGGAUCAGGGGGGUUGGAUUCGCUGAGAUGCGUUAGGAUUUAUCCUCGUAGUACCUUUAGGGUACGUCUUUAAUAUCAAUUCAGUGGUUGCAUAUAGGCGCGGUGCUGCAUUUUUACCAAGAUCAACAACGAAUGAGAUGUCUUGUCUAAAUACAAUGAGUUAAGUACAACGAAGCGUAAAGUUGAACUUUAGAUAUGGAAUUUUAGAUUCCAUAACCUCUUCAAGGGUCUCAUUUGUAUAUAACAUAUAGACGAUCAUGGGCAUACUCAAAGGUGACUCAUUCAGGGUGUAGUUCGACUGGUAGACAAAAUACUGUCAGAAAAAUACUUCAACUUCAGGUCAAGGUAUAAACGAGUUUUCCCAAGAUCUUUCGUCUCAAAUUCCAUCUUCAGGUGCGAGGCAGUUUUCUCAAGCAUUUCUGAAGUUUUAGUGAGAUUCAUGUCAACGACAUAAACUGUAGCUCUAGCAAUUUGGAAUAAAACUUCAUAGUUUAACACGCAAAGGCGUAGUUCAUAUCCCUAACUAAUCACAUAAUCACUUAGACAGGUAUACCACAUCCGUCGGAUUGUAAGUGAAAACCUCAAGCAAGUUAAAAGGGUGUUCCGUGGUUUUAGAACUAUUUGAACCAGUCUAUGUAAUUCUUCGAGAAUUUACAUGUAAAUCUCCAUAUCUAUAUCCCCAUGGAGAAAAUACUAACCACAUUUCAUAAUGCUGCUAUCAAUCACAUGACAUUUUGAGAUAAACAUUACGUUGUAAGACGUUCAUCAUAUUGCACUAUUUUAUUUAUCUCAUAAUGCUUCAUUUCUCACUUGGAACACAACAGAGUUACCUUGGGCAGUGUAGGAACAACAGAUCCAAUACACACUUUGGUAAGGAAUUUGACCUGGAUUGUAAUUGUCCAAUCAGUUCUACAUUGUCACUUAAUCAACGGAACACGGUUUGAUAUCGUUGCUUUUCAUUUAUGUCAGUAGCUACCAUAUAAGUGAAAACAUCAUCGAUGGUAAUCUCAUUUCAAUUCCAUUCAGCUCACCCCAAACUAGUAUACUGGACCAAGAACUUCAAGUCUUGGGAGUAAUCCGGAUUAAUCUCAUGAGAUGGAAAUGAUUUGAGACAGCGAUCGAGUUUAGAUUCAUUGUUGUGCUGUCUCUUCCUCUUCUAGGGAAGCGAAUCCUACGAACCGAAUAAUAUGUUGUGCUUUAGGCCAAGAUAGAUUGAUUGGCUAUCCGCCAGUGUACCGAACCGUCCAACAUGGGCGUCCAAAUCGUCCAACAGGGGCGGCACACCCUUUAAAGAUGUUGACUCGACGUCCGUUAAGUACAUCUAUCCUUGCAGGCAUGUUUGCAACUGAUAUAUGAUCUCACCAUUUUAGCUAGAUCAGAUGAAUGCGUCUGGAGCAACAUUCUAAAAACUAGAAUUCAUCGCACUUGCUUAUCAAACUUAUGCGGUAUGGGGAUCAAAAUGAGACAUAGUAGGCAACGUCCAAGCAAAUUCAUGUCGUUCUCCAAGAACGUUGACGUUCUUAUCUCCCCUUAACGGCAGGAAGAUUGUCUCAUUAAAGUGAUAACCCGCAAAUGAACGGUAAAGAGAUCGCAUGCAAGGGCUCAAAUAGAGCUAGUGUGAAGGAGAAUCAUGAUCGACAAAAGAUACACAUUCUUCUUUGAGGACCCAUGGUGGUACGUUGCGACGGCUCAACUUGACACAUGGAAUGCACACUUAAAUACGUAAAUACGAAAAUCGUCAGGUUCGUACCCAGUAACCAACUGUAACGUCAUAUAGGUUGGGUGGCAAUGGGCCUCAAGGCAGACCAACAUAACUGCGUACAAGGAUUGCAUAGCCCUAGGCAGAAACUAAAAACUUGGUACGUUUACCAAAACUCGGGCGAUCAUUUAAAUUGCGCUUUAUGAUUACUAGGCGAGGCUCUUUGGGGUGAACAUGGGAUUUCAAUGUUCAAUUAUAAACCCAAAAUACAUGCAAUAUUUUAUCGAAAAUCAUCAAUAUAAACUCUCCGACAUUAUCCAGUUUCCCAGACCUUAAGGGAUAAGUAGGGUGGUGAACCCGUAAUCGGCCAGGAGGUUUAGCAGCAAUGUUUGUGGACAAACAUGUGAUCAGUUUGUCGAUUCAUCAACCAAAACCAUAAGUAUUUUAUAUGGUCCGCAUUUUGGUUGGAUUGGUCCACAUAUAUUCCUUUGAAUCCACUGUGAAAAGAUAGUCGUGUCGUAUCUUUGCGAGGAAUGAUAUAGAAAAUCAAUUUCCCUAAUGAGCAUGCUUGGCAAAGUGUGCUUGUAAGCACAAGAUCUUUACUUCAGGUAAGGAGAUGUGUUGUAGCAUCAUUGUUCGACUUAAGUGUCCCAAAAGGUCAUGCCAAAGCAAGUAAACUACUCAAUCACCAGGGUCCAGGCCAGCCACAUGUGGCGUGUUCCCAGUUGGGAAACAAUCCAUUGGCCUCAAAUCAAAGCUUUAGGCUCAUUUUUUGGAGGUGGUGCAAAGAUAUUUCACUUUAUUUUCUUCAGUGGUUUCAUUUAUGAUCAUUGUCAUCUCGAAUAUCCUUAAAAACUCAACGUCAUGGAUAAUUUAAGGUCCCUUAAAUGGUAAUUCAGUACCAUUCAUACAAUGAGGAGCGUGCCAAUACUCUUAAUCAGGUUAGAUAGACCUGCAGUCGUUGUUAGAGAUGUGAUUUAGGUGUAAAGUUAGUGUGCGUAGUACGCAUUCAUCCAGACAACUAACUUUCCCACAUUCCUACCUAAUCACGUGUUUAAUUGAAUCGGUCACAUGUAUUAAGAAACAUUAUUCAAUUAACUCAUAUUCGAGGACAAUAUCAAUAAGAUUAUCUAUAAGUAAAACAUACACCAAACGUGAAUCCAAGAACAUGGAAAAAUGUUCACAAAGUAAAUGGUUUACUAAGGGGAUUCGGCCAACAAGGCUAUCCAUGUUAAAAUUCUGCUAUUCCAACAGUGUUUGGUGGAGCAAAAUUAGUGUCACAUAUUGACUACUAUAAUGAUACUCCUUAACAACAUUGGUAGGGGCACGAACAGGUGCAUAACCAAUGAUUUAUUCUAUUGAGACGGAAGUAAAUUCUGCAAGGUUAAGGUUCGAGAAUAUUUUCUCUUAUUCUUGAAGUUUUAGGUCUUAGGUACUAAGGAUCAUGCUUUGGGCAUGAUGCCACACCUUGGCAGGCCCUGAUUCUACCAUAUGUUGUAAAAACAAACUCGAAAUUGGAUUGUGAGAGAAUAUGUCAUUAGGUGUAUCCCUGCUAAAGCAGUGCAUCACCAUUCGGUAGGCUUUGAGGAACUGGGUCGAGCAAUUCGGUAGACUUCAGCCAAACUGGAUCCAUACCUUUCUCACGUUUGUGGUAGUAAUCAGAUCCGAGAAUUUGGUAAACUUUCGUUUUCUACAUUGCUGCUUCAGGGACGAGUUAGAAACAUGGAAAGACAAGAAAAGUUUUCUCUAGUAAAAAAUUCAAUUGGAUUUAUAAACUUCAGAAUUAUACUCAUUCAUGGACAUAAUCAUGGUGUGCUUCAGGCAAUGUCCUUCAUGAUUAGACGGUCCGUAAAAGCGAGCCAAAGAGCCAUGGAAUCCUCAAUUGGGAGGUAUUUCCAUUUGUAAUACUUUGAGCAUAAGUCUUAGAAUGAAGGUAAUGGCAGAGGCUUAUUCAGCUCUUCCAUGCCAUUGUUGGCUGCAAUGGUUUCUUAGCUUGUUGAUAGUCAAGUGGAGAUUCACGUCUUGUACCCCACAUAAAGUGAUUUCUAAUAGAAAACGCCCAAAUCAGGAAAAUCAAACUUAUGACGGUUCGACAAUCCAUUGAAUUGGAAGGAACAAGAUUGUGAUUGGUGCUAUGAGAAUGAAUCAUCCAUAAGCAUCAAAGUUAGAACAUUCGAGUUCUAAGACAUGGUUUUCAUGAAAAAGUCGGGUUUUCAUGGGUGUAUUCUUUUAUGAAAACUUCGGAUUUCAAAGGCAUUAAAUUGGAAACUACAUGUUCAAUUUAGUUUAUGAACGUUUAGUUCAUAAAAGAGAGGUUCCCACAAGAACACAUAAUGCAAUAUACAAUUAAGUGUGGUGGAUUUGGGUUGCUUCAGGAACUCAAGUUUGAGUGCUUCGAGACUACGAAAGUAUGUCAACGGUUCAAAGAAAAGAAAUAAAAUAUUAAAUCGUUAAUGUCCAAAAGUGAUUUUCAGGUCAAUAAUUUUGGAUUCAUUAUCAGAUUAAUGAACUGCAGGUCACUUUUAAUUAAUUCAAAAGAUCGAGACCAUUUGGGAUCGAUCAUAGAAGCAAAAAUAAAAUUUGUGUAAGGCCAAUAAUUAUUUAAUAUUAGAUGCAGGCUAUACAAAUAAAUUAGGCCUAUAUUAGGCUCGGGUAGGCUGCAAUUGGGUAGCCCCAUAACAAGUAAAGCAAGUCUGCAUGCUUGCUGUGAUGUCACAUGCCACGGGAAUAAGGCUGCAAAACAGCCUACCAUAAAUGCAGGUCAGCGGAUCAGGAAAAAAAAAAGGGUUAGAUCCUAGAGGCCUAGGCUUGCUGGCUUUGGGCUAACUCAUGAAAAAAGCCCAACUUGUGCUGGCUUCUGGUUGACGCUAGAGUAGGCCCAGUCAACACCAGGCUUCGAGCUUUGGGGCGAGAUGAAUGAUUGUUGCAAGCAGGAAAAAGGCUGUAGGCCUUCAAUAAGAAACCCAGGCGCAUGUCUGGUGCUCAUGCACAUGCAGCAAGCCUAAAGGCUGCUGCCUCACGGGUCCAGUGCCCAAGCCUUAAGAUGCAUGCUCGGUUUAGGUUGGCGUGGCUACAGGUCGCGACUCAACUGAAAUUUUUUUCCAAAAUUUAAUUUUUUUUUCUUUUCAAAAUACCUAGGGUUUGAAAAACCCUAUUUGCUUCUAAUUUCUUUCAAUUCUUUGACUCACAAAUUCCACAUAGCAAAAAUUGCGUAAUGCAUGAAACAAAUAUAUAUAUAUUGACAAAUAUAUAAACAUAUACAAUAUAUAUAUAUCGGAAGGAAAAUAUAAACAUAGGGGGGAAUGUUUUCAUACUUCAUGGUCAUUUCAAAUAUCUUACUUUAUUUUAAACGUACCUGACUGGCAGAAAACAACAAAAGCCUUGAAUUUGUAGAAGAUCCUUCUCGGAAAGCCUGAAUUGCAUCUCCAAUGUGUUGUAUCACGUUUAACAUAGAAAAAUUAAAUUAAAUCAAUAGCAUGUAGAUCAAUUCAAUAAAAUAAUGAAUUAAUCAUAAGAAGAAUGAUUAAAACGUAAUACUCCCCUGAUUAAAGAAUAAAUUUUCUUGUUAGCACAGCGUCAAGAGCGUGCUGAUAACGUGUUAUAGGCAUAAUUUACUGAGCAAUUAUAGAGGCCUUAGAGAGAGGGGUGCGGCAAUAGGCAGAGAGAAUGAGAUAGAUGUGUAAUUAUGAGGUGUGUUCUAUUCCACCAUGUUAAUGCACAAAAUCAGUGAGGACUUUGGUACAACAAAAAAUGUUAAGUUUGUGACCUUCGCUAGAUUGCUCCGGUCACUAGUGUGGAUAAGUAUGUAAAUGGAUAGAGACAAGGAAGCAAACACAAGAUGUAGGUGGUUCACUAAGAUUGGCCACGUCCACAGAGUAAAGGAGUUCUCAUUAAUUGUGAAGGGUUUACACAAGCACAUAGGUUCAAGCUCUCCUUUUGUGAGUACUAGUGAAUGAUUUAGUACAAAUGACAUUAGGAAAUAUUGUGAGAGAAUGAUUUCUAUUUAUAGAAGAAAGUUUCUAGUUUCAUUCUGACAUUGACACGUUUCGUGUUGUGAUUGGCUUCUGAUGUUGACACAUGUCACGCUAUGAUUGGCUUCUAAUGUCGACGCGUGUCGCGUUGUGAUUGGCCUCCUGGUUUGAGGGAAACUCUUAUGCGUCUUUGAUAGUAUAACGUUGACCGAUGCUUAGUAGUUUCGAGAUUGGUCAAGUAUGGUACAAACAGUGCUCCUAUGAGUUCCCAAGUAAGGGAAACUCCUCGAUUGGGGACUUGCAAGAUCCAAUCCAUUAAGUAAUCAUGAAACUUCUAAGUAAUGAAGUGUGGUAUCAUUUUCACUUGCCUUAUCUGUCUUAUAUGUAGAUGUGGCAUCUUCUCUGGAAGUACUUUUCCUCUGUCCAAGGGUGGUAUCUUUAACAGAUGGAGAUGCACAAGGUAAUGUAUCAAUUUGACUUGAAGCUUACUUGUAGUUUCAGGCUUGGUCAAGCGCGAUACAAACCAUGUAGUAGGAGUCCCCCAAGUCGCCGAGCUAGGAGAUUUGCCGAAAGAGGUGACAAACAAGGUAAGCAAUCAGAGUUCCAAGUAAUCAGUCCCAGAUCAGAAGUUUGAUUUUGAGUUCCAGCUGAUUGUUCUCAUUCUCCCUGUCUCGCAGGUAGCAAGAAGGAUAAGAAGAAGAAAAUGAGAAAAUAUGAUAUGAGAUACUUUUGCUUUUGAAUAAGUAACUUUCCACAGGCUUAUUCUUGAACUGGGCUGGAGGGUUUUCUGGUUUCCUCCAGAGUAUGAGGCCGACUCAAGAAUUUGAGGGUCAAAACAAGUCCAUUAAAUCUAGAGUACAUUCAACCCUGAUGAUAUGAGGUAUUUUUGUUGUUGACAAAGUAGUGGAUGUAUCGGCACGUGUUCUGUUACGCUUGUUUCCACAUGCUUCCUUGUAUCCUUCUCACUUACCCUAUAUGUUCCUCAGACAGAUGUGGUAUCUUCUCUGGAAGCAUAAGAUGUUGAAGAUAAGUACUCGAGAGCAAUGUCAAGUAAGUAAUCAGGCAAAGGGUUCCAGGCAGUCAGUUCCUGACUAGAAGCUUGAUUCCAAGUGCUAACUGAUUUCUCUCUUUCUCCUUGUCUUGCAGGUAAGAACAAGGCCAAAUGAAAAGAUAGGGAAAAAGCAUGAGAUAUGAGAUACUCUUGAUUUUAACCCUGAUGAUAUGAGAUACUCUUGCUCUGGUGUGGCUUGUUUGUAGAAGUAUUAUCGGGGGGAAAAGAAGCUGAGUAUUUCGAGAGACUCUGCUGAGAGUGCCCUCUUAGACGUGAAGAAAAGUUGAGCAUUUUUUUUAUUUGCAGGUUUGCCUGGCUAUGGAGGAUGGAUGUUGACAUAUAUAAGAGUCUCCCUAACAACAAGUAGUAGUGUUAUUCCUUUACUCUUCUUGGUCAUAGCAAUGUAGUGGGAGCUGCAAGCUUCACGUGUUUGAACUUUGUCAAAGCACUUUGAAAAAGUGGUAUGUGGUAUCUGGAAAGCUGAUGUUGCGUGUAAAGAUUGUAGACAAGCUUUAUCCAAGGAAAUCUGGCUCUUGAAGUUCGGAAAGCGGUGCCUCUUCGGUUUUCGAACAAGCAAUCAUGUCGGGGAUCUGGCUCUUGAGAUUCAGAUAAUGGUGCAUCUUCGAUUUUUGAGAAAGCAAUCAUGUUGGGAGUCUGACUCUUGAGAUUCGGAUAGCAGUCUCUCUUCGAUUUUUUAGAAAGUAAUCCUGUUAAGAGUCUGGCUCUCGAAAUUCUGAAGGCGGUGCCUCUUCGAUUUUUGAGCACAUAAUCAUGUUGGGAGUCUGGCUCUCGAGAUUCGGAGAGCAGUGCAUCUUCGAUUUUUAAGCUAGCAAUCUUGUUAUGAGUGUUUUCUCGAAUGUGAGUAAAGGUUAGGCAUUUUUUGCCAAUCUGCCUUGCCACGGAGCACGGAGGUUGACACACAUUAUGACUUUCUAGUUAUCAAGCAGUGGUGCUGUUCCCUUACCCUUGUGGGUAAUAGUAGGGUAGCUGGACCUUCAAAAUUUAUGUGUCUAAACUUUGUCAGAGAUCUUUGGCAAAGUUAACUACGGUACCCGAGGAGCUAAUGUUACAUGUGGAAAGUGGUGCCUCUUCGAUUUUUGAAUCAACGGUCCUGUUGCCCUUUCUUUUAUAAGGGCACCAAUUGUGUGCAAGAAGUACAUUCAGAGAGUUAUUGCUUGUAGGAAUUUUCCCCUUACUUCAGAGAUUUAUUGCACCUCAUUUCUCCUUCAUCAUUUCUAAGAAUGUCUAGCCUAUCCGACCAUCGUUUUGACUUAAACUUUGAUGAAGAGGCAACCAUGCCUUCUCAAGACAACAUAUGGCGCCCAUCCUUCUUAUCCCCUACUGGUCCUCUUACCGUUGGGGACUCUGUGAUGAAGAAUGAUAUGACUGCUGCAAUGGUGGCCAGAAACCUUCUCACUCCCAAAGAUAACAGACUACUUUCCAAACGGUAUGAUGAGUUGGAUGUUAAGAAUUCUCUAGCUCUCAAUGUUCAGUGUGCAGGUUCUGUGUCUAAUAUGGCCCAACACCUAUUUGCUCAAACCCGCCAAGUUGAAUCAUUGGCUGCUGAAGUGAUAAGUCUCAAAUGGGAGAUCAGAUGGCUCAAGCAUGAGAAUAAACAGUUCACAGGUUUGCAUAUGACUAUGCUACAAACAUAAAGAGGAAGCUCGACCAGCUGCAGGGAUCUGAUGGUCAGAUUUUACUUGAUCAUCAGAGGUUUGUGGGUUUGUUCCAAAGGCAUUUAUUGCCUUCAUCUUCUGGGGCUGUACCGCGUAAUGAAGCUCCAAAUGAUCAACAUUCGGUGUCUCCUUCUUCUGGGGUUCUGCCUAGUAUUGAGACUCCGAAUAAUCACCCUUUGGUGCCUCCUCUUUCUGAGGCUUUGUCGACUACUGAAACUUUUCCUGAGCAACCUUUGUGAAGGCUCCCUCUUAUUUAUUUAUUUUGAUUCAUGUAUAUGUACAUAUUUGUAACUUAUCAGAGAUAUCAAUAAAUAAACUUUGCUUUAUUUCAACGUAUUGUGUUAAAUACACCAAGGUCUUUCUUCACCAAGUUCUUUGAAUUUUUCCUUUUGUUGAAGCUUGUAUGUUGAAGCUUUGUGAGUGAAGCAUGUAGGUUGAGGUAGUGCUCCCUUAAUUUCCCGAGUAAGGAAAACUUCUCGAUUGAAGACUUGAAAAAAUCUAAGUCAUUGAGUGCUUGUGAGACUUCCGAGUAUCAAGGUGUAGUAGCAUAUGGUAGGAGUCCCCCAAGUCUCCGGUCGAGGGAGUUGACGAAGGAGGUGUCUUGCUAAUAGCCAAGUUUCCAAAGUAAAAAAAAUUUCACUAUUUUCCUUUCUAACUGGUAGCCCAAAACUCCUCAUUCAUAUAUAUUUGUUAUAAAAGUUGUUAGGCCUAAAGAAGAAGAGGCCUAAGCAAUUUUUUUUUUUUUUAAUUUUCGAAUUUCUGAAUUUUCGGAAGCUUUUGUUUUUUUUUUUUUUUGUGGGUGAAGCUUUUGUGGUAGGGGAAGCUUUUGUGAGGGAAGCUUUUGUGGGUGAAGCUUUUGUGGUGGGGGUAGCUUUUGUGGUGGGUGAAGCUUUUGUGGGUGAAGCUUUUGUGGUGGGUGAAGCUUUUAUGGGUGAAGCUUUUGUUGGUGAAGCUUUUAUGGGUAAAGCUUUUGUAGGUAAAGCUAUUGUGGGUGAAGCUUUUGUAGGUGAAGCUUUUGUGGUGGGUGAAAGCUUUUGUGGGUGAAGCUUUUGUGGUGGGUGAAGCUUUUGUGGGUGAAGCUUUUAUAGGUGAAGCUAUUGUGGGUGAAGUUUUUGUGGGUGAAGCUUUUGUAGGUGAAGCUUUGGAGUUGAAGCUUUGUAGGUGAAGCUUUGGAGUUGAAGCUUUUAUUGGGUACCAUGAAUUGAUUUUGCUUCACACUAUCUUGAUCAAGAUAGUGUGAAGUUUUUGAGAAUUUGUAGUUGUCCUCCAUUGAUAAAGCUUUUGUUGGUGAAGCUUUUGUGGUGAAGCUUUGUUGGGUACCAUGAAUUCAUUUUGCUUCACACUCUCUUGAUCAAGAUAGUGUGAAGCUUUUGAGAAUUUGUAGUUGUCCUCCAUUAAUGAAGCUUUUGUUGUUGAAGCUUUUAUGGUGAAACUUUGUUGAAUUUCCCAAUGUCCUUUCUUCUUUUUUUGGGAAAAUUAGAAAUUUGAAAAUGUGGGAGAUACAACACAUACAAAUUUUGCUUCCACACUGUUGAGCAAGAGAUUGUGAUGCAAGCCACACCUUGUAGUAGUCGAAGGUUUGGAUGAACCAUAUAAAUUGAAUUUGCUUCAAACAGUCCUGAUCAAGAGUGUGUGAAGCUUUCUACGAGUUGUAAUUGCCCUUCAUUGAUGAAGCUUUUGUUGGCACCAUAAAUUGGUUUUGUUUCACACUUUCUUGAUCAAGAGUGUGUGAAGCUUUUGAGAAUUGUGGUUCAACUCCUUUGAUGAUGCUUUUAUUGGCACCAUAAAUUGGUUUUGCUUCACACUAUCUUGAUCAAGAGUGUGUGAAGCUUUUGAGAAUUGCGGUUGUCCUCUAUUGAUGAAGCUCUUGGUGGCACCAUAAUUGGUUUUGCUUCACACUAUCUUGAUCAAGAGUGUGUGAAGCUUUUGAGAAUUGUGGUUGCCCUCCUUUGAUGAAGCUCUUGUUGGCACCAUAAAUUGGUUUUGCUUCACACUGUCUUGAUCAAGAGUGUGUGAAGCUUUUGAGAAUUAUGGUUGCCCUCCAUUGAUGAAGCUCUUGUUGGCACCAUAAAUUGGUUUUGCUUCACACUGUCUUGAUCAAGAGUGUGUGAAGUUUUUGAGAAUUGUGGUUACCUUCCAUUGAUGAAGCUCUUGUUGGCACCAUAAAUUGGUUUUACUUCAAACUGUCUUGAUCAAUAAUGUGUGAAGCUUUUGAGAAUUGUGGUUGAACUCCAUUGAUGAAGCUCUUGUUGGCACCAUAAAUUGGUUUUACUUCACACUGUCUUGAUCAAGAGUGUGUGAAGCUUUUGAGAAUUGUGGUUAAACUCCUUUGAUGAAGCUCUUGUUGGCACCAUAAAUUGAUUUUGCUUCACACUAUCUUGAUCAAUAAUGUGUGAAGCUUUCUACGAGUUGUAGUGUUUAUAUUGUUACAGAGGGGAAAUGUCUGAAGCAGAUGCAAGAAGGCUGAAUAGCUUGAUCUUCGUAUGCCAUGCACUAAAGAUGUUGUUGGCUUGCAAUAAAACUUUGUUGGUGACUAUAACUCUUAUUGGGCAUAAAUGCUCCUUUAGUUGAGUUGUCAAGCUUGAGGGUUUUUGAUUAUUUAUGAAUGCUACGAGUUCACAUGUACAAGUUAUACCAUUCGUCUUCUGGUAGGUGGAAUGAAUGGUGAGUUACUUUCAUCACUUGGUUGGUGGUAUGAAUGUGAGUUCCUUCAUCACCUUUCAUCACAUUUCAUCACCUGGUUGGUGGCACGAGGAUGAGUUCCUUAUUCACCUGGUUGGUGACAUGAAGAUAAGUUCAUUCUUCAACUGGUUGGUAGCAUGAAUGGCAAGUUGCCAAAUGAUAUUAGAGUACGGGUUGUACAUUUGAUCACAUGAUUGGUGGCAUGAAGGAGAGUACGGGUUGUACAUUUCAUCACCUGAUUUGUGGCAUGAAUGGCAAGUUGCCAAAUGAUAUUAGAGUACGGGUUGUACAUUUCAUCACCUGGUUGGUGGCAUGAAGGAGAGUACGGGUUGUACAUUUCAUCACCUGGUUGGUGGCAUGAAGAUGAGUUUCUUCUUCACCUGGUUGGUGGCAUGAGUGGCAAGUUGCCAAAUGAUAUUACCGUACGGGUUGUAGAUUUCAUCACCUGGUUGGUGGCAUGAAGGAGAGUAGGGGUUGUACAUUUCAUCACCUGAUUGGUGGCAUAAAGAUGAGUGUCUUCUUUACAUUUCAUCACCUGGUUGGUGAGAAUAAAGGCAAUGUGUCUAGGCAUAUUGUAGCAAGUGUCGAAUGACACAAAGUAUGUUGAACCCUUUCAAAGCACAGUUGGCUUAUGUAUGAAUGUGUUAGAAUAUAUGAUUGAACGAAUAUAUUGUGAAGCUGUUCGUUUAUUUGUAUAGUCUUGUUGACAUAUACUUAGACUUUGUUUCAUGUUGGAAGCAUUCAUGUUGAAGCUUUGAACCCAAGUGUUUCAUUGCUAGGAAUGUAAAAGGAUUAGGACCAAGUUGUCUAAACCACCUCUUUAUUGAAUUCAUGUCCAAUAAUCUUCAUUACAUAGGAUGCCGAACGGCUGAAGUUUAACACUUGUACAAUGUGAGUUUACUUGUAAUAGUACUUCAAGUGAUCAGCGUUCCAUGGAUGGCCAAGGGUCUUGCCAUCAGAGCUUCUAAGCUUGUAGGAGCCAGGGCAACUGAUGCCAACAACUUCAAACGAUCCAUCCUAGUUUGGACUAAGUGUUCCUUCACUCGGGAUUCUGUCGCAGAGUAAUCUUUUCUUCAAUACCCAGUCCCCCACUUUGAAAAAACGAGGUUUGACCCUUGAGUCAUAGUAGUUGGAGAUGCGUUGCUUGUAGGCGACAUUCCUCAAGUAAGCCUGGUUUCUAUGUUCCUCGACUAGAUCUAAGUUUAGGGUAAGUUGUUUGUCAUUUUCGCUUUGCACGUAGUUCUGGAUUCGGAACGUUGCUUGCUCAAGCUCAACUGGGACAACUGCCUCUGUACCAAAAGCAAGUGAGAAUGGGGUUUCUCUUGUUGAUGUCCGAUAUGAAGUGCGGUAUGACCAAAGAACUUGGGGUACAAAUUCUGGCCAACAACCUUUAGCCUUGUCCAAGCUGGUUUUCAAAGUUCGCUUGAUUAUUUUGUUGAUGGCUUCAACUUGUCCAUUAGACUGGGGAUGAGCUGGGGAGGCAAAACAUAAGUUGAUGUUGAACUUAGAGUUGGUCAUUAAUGAUCAAGUAACGGGUAGCCUUGUAUUGAAUCUGCUUAGCUUGGACUUUGUCAUUUGGAAGGGUGCCAUGAGUAAGGAAUCUAUAAAUCGGGGCAAUCCAAAUAUCCCCUAGUUGUAAGUUGCACACUUUCGCAUCCAUGGUGCUUGGUGCUGCCAACAAUUCGACUUGAAUUUUUCUCCCAAUCUUGUCUUCGAUAGCUAAGGCGAGGCGAGCCAAAGUAUUUGCAUGACUGUUUACCGCACGAGGAAUUUGGGUGAUCUGGUAGUGGUAAUGCUUGAGCAACAAUUGCGUUUGUGCCAGAUAUGCUGCCAUGGAGCUAUCUUUAGCAUCAAAGUUGUUGGUGACCUGGUUAACCAUCAAUUAGGAGUCACUGAAGAUAUCAAUUCGUUUAACCCCAAGGUGUUUGGCCAAACGUAAGCCUGCUAGGAGGGCUUUAUAUUCGGCCUCAUUGUUUGACGCCUUGAAUUUGAAACGAAAAGCAUACUCCAUUGCCACUUUGUUAUGGGUCAUAAGGACUAGUCCUGCUCCACAACCCUGUUGGUUGGACGAGCCAUCAACAUAUAGACUCCAUGCUAGUGUUGUUGGUUCUAUUUUCUAAGCUACUGAUGGUAAUGAAACCACUUCUUUAGGCAUAGAAACAAUUUCAACAGGAUAUGUGAAGUCGGCGAUGAAGUCUGCCACUGCUUGGCCCUUCUCAGCUGGCUUUGGUUGGUAGGAGAUGUCAAACUCACCUAAUGUUAUCGCCCAUUUGAUCAUUCGUCCAGAAGUGUUAGGACUUUGGAGUAUCUGUCGAAGAUGAUGAUUGGUAGCAUGAUGAUUGAGUGUGCUUGGAAGUAAGGCGAAGUUUUCGAGCAGACAUGACCAAUGCUAGAGCCAAUUUCUCAAUGUUGGAGUAUCGUGUCUUCGCAUCUUGUAAGGCCUUGCUAGAAUAGUAGACAUGUCGUUCGACAUUACCAUCAUUUAAAAUGAGAACGGAACUUACUGCUGAAGCCGAUACUGAUAGAUAAAUAAUGAGAGUGUCACCAACCUCAGGUUUGGAAAGCAAAUGGGCUUUACUCAUGUAGUCUUUGAGGUUCUUAAAUGCCUCAGCACAUUCAUCAGUCCAUGUAAUAUACUUCUUACUUCCCUUAAGUACUUUGAAGAAAUGAGCACAUCUGUCUGUAGCCUUAGAGAUGAACCUAGUUAAGGCUGCCACCUUGCCAGUAAGGCUCUGGAUGUCUUUUGAAGUUAUCGGUUCCUUCAUGUCGAGGAUUGCUUUGAUCUUCUCGGGAUUAGCCUUAAUGCUUCAUUGGCUUAUCAUGAAGCCUAAGAAUUUGCCAGAGCCAACGCCGAAGGCACAUUUGUUGGGGUUCAACCUCAUUUGAUACCUCUUCAGAAUGGUGAAAGUUUCAGAUAGGUUGGUGAUGUGUUGGUCAGCAUGUUUGCUCUUGACUAGCAUAUUAUCAACGUAAACUUCCAUGCUCUUCCCAAUCUGUUUUGCGAACAUUGAAUAAACCAGUCUCUGAUAAGUCGCUCCUGCAUUCUUUAGGCUGAAGGGCAUGACUUUAUAGCAAUAUAGUCCCCUAUCAGUAGUAAAGGCUGUGUGUUCUUGGUCCAAAGGGUUCAUGAGGAUUUGGUUGUAUCCUGAGUAAGCAUCCAUGAAGCUCAGGAGUUCACAUUCUACCGUAGAGUCUAUAAGUCUGUCUAUGAGAGGAAGAGGAAAGCUAUCAUUCGAGCAUCCUUUAUUUAGAUCGGUGUAAUCGACACACAUUCUCCACAAGACCUUUUGGAGCAGGAGACUUUCCUUGAUCGGAUUCUUCUUAACAAGGACAACAUUUGCUACCCACGUUGGAUAAUUGACUUCGCGAACGAAGCAUAUGCCUUUGAGUUUUUCAACUUCUACCUUCAUUGCCUCGUACCGUUCAGCGUCAUAAGAUCUUCGCUUCUGUCUCACUGGCUUGGUAUUGGGGUCAAUACUUAAGCAAUGACAGAUGAUAUCGGGAGAGAUGCCUGGCAUGUCCUCAUAUGACCAGGCGAAGACCUCAGUGUUCUCUUGCAAAAGAGAGAUCAAUGCCAACCGAAUUGAUGGUGACAAGGUGGUGCCAAUCUUCACCAAACGAUCUAGAUAAUCUUUUGAUAUAAAGACCUUCUCUAACUCUUCAGCGGGUUGUGCUUGCUGGGUGAAAGAGUCAUAUCGAUGAUCGUUUUGACUGUUGCCACCAUGAAGAUCCAAGUUGGCUUCGUCUGGGCUGGUCUUUAUGACUUGGUCAUGUAUAGAAAGGGUUUCCUUGGGCACAGGCAAAUGUUGUUGCUUGACCGAAGUGUUGUAACAUGAUCGUGCACUAAGUUGAUCUCCUCUGAUGUAACCAUUGCCAUAAGGGGUUGGAAAUUUCAUCAACAACAUAUGUGUGGAUACCAUGGCCUUGAGAUCAUUGAUACCUGUGCGUCCGAAGAUGACAUUGUAUGCCGUUAGGCAAUCAACCACCAGGAAGUUAGUGGUAAUGGUAGCUGUGUAAGGGCAUGUACCAAUGGUGAAAGGUAAGUGUAUGCUCCCCAAAGGUUGCACGAUAUCACCAGAGAAGCUUAUCAGAGGGGAAAUUGAGCGAUCGAGCAAGUGUUCAGCUAUAUUAAGUGCCCUGAAAGCUUCAGUAAACAUGAUAUUGACCAAAGCCCCCGUGUCUACCAGAAUUCGUCGUACUUCAAAGUUGGCUAUGUGAGCUUCCACGAUCAGUGGGUCGUUGUGAGGGUAAAUUAUACCUGUUUCUUCCUCAGGGUAGAAACAUAUUGGAUCCCAAUUAGGCUUUUGAUACUUACCUCCCCUGAUGUCUUCUACAUGAAACACUUGGUGACCAGACCUUAAAGCUCGUUCACUAUUUUUCAUGGCCCUGUUGGAAGAUUUAGUUAUGGGUGUGCCACCAUUUAUGGAAUAUAUCAAAUUCACCUAGCGUUGGUUACGGUUACCCCUUGGAGGGUGAAGGAGGAAUUGAUCAAUUUUUCCUUCACGUGCCAAUGCUUCAAUAUGAUCACGGAAGGUGAUACACUUCUCGCCAUCAUGGCCGUUAUACUCAUGGUAGUAGCAAAACAUGCCCGUGUUCUUCGUGGGCUUGUAAUCCGAGUGCCUUGGCUUUAACUUCGGUAUCAAGUGUGCUAUGCUAAGGUAAAUGGCCACACAUGUGGCGUUCAAAGGUGUGUAUGCCUCAUACCUCGAGGUAGGGGCUAUCCUGACACGUGCUUGACCCAUUGUGUUGACUGCCUGGGGUUGAGAUUAUCAUGGCGAUACCCUUGGUUAUCGGGGUAAUGUCUCGUACUCUUUUUACUAAAAUGAGACUGAUGAGGAUGGAAAUCUUUCCUUUUACCAUGAGAUUGAUAUGUCUAUUGACUUGACAAAGUAUUAAGUAAGGCAGGGGGAGGCACCGCUGCCAUUUGGAAGGUCGAGGUCUUCUCAUUUGGUUGGAUCUGGCUUCCAUUCCCUACUUUCUGAUAAGGGGUGGCUGUAGGGGGUUUCCCUUGAUAUGUCCUUACCUCAGCGGAGGCAUGGUUGUAAGCCUAUGCCAUCACCUCAGAGUAAGUCUUCCAAGUGUUGGCAUUGAUCAUAUACUUGAAGAAACAGUCACGUAGGCCUGCCGUAAAGGCUUUGAGGGCAGUCUUGUCAUCUGCCUCGGCACAACCGGAAUACUCAUGGCUGAAGCGGCCAGCAUACAUACGUAAUGACUCUUCUGGCUUCUGGUGAAUAGUGUACAAGUUAUCUGCAGAGUGCAAGCGAUCGGUCUGAAUGGUGGCUGCAGGCCACGGGGUGCAAGAAAUCCCCCAGCUGCAGCUAGGUUUUCGUUUGGGCCGAAAGAGGGUGCACGGGACAAGGCCCAGCAGGAGCUGGCCUUGUAGGUGAUGCACAUGAGGACAAAAAUUCAGCCUUGUGGGCUGGCAUGUGGGUUUGAGUGAAGGCCCAGCCUAAAAAAGGCUGGUGUCAUAGCUGCAGGCCAAUGCAGCAGUAUGGGCAUGGGACUUCAGGCCCUGCCGAGGUGAGUGCCAGGCCGAGGCCUGGUGGCUGCUUCCACAGUGAUAAUGCGGUGGUAUGCCACACCAUGUCCAAUCCCCCCUUCUUUUUUUUUUUCAAAAUCCUUUAGGGUUUAGGAAAAACCCUAAAUAUGCUUCUAAUUUAUUUUAUAUAAAUUGACUCACAAAUUCCACAUAACAAUUUAAUUGUGCGAUACAUGAAACAAAUAUAUAUAUUGCCAAAUAUAUUAACAUAUACAAUAUAUAUAUAUAUAUAUAUAUAUAUAUGAAUCGAAAGAAAAAUAUAAACAUAGAGGGGUUCAUGCAUCAUGGGGAAUGUUUUCAUGCUUCGUGGACAUUUCAAAUAUCUUCUUUAUUUUAAGCGUACCUGAUAAGCAGAAAACGAAUAAGCUUUUGAAUUUGGUGGAUGAUAGCCUCCUCCAACGAUGUGUCAAUUCCUUAACUUCUGGCAAGAGCGUGCUAAUAACGUAUUGUUGGCCUAUUUGAUUGAACGAUCUAGGGUUUAGAGAAAGAAAGAGGGGGCGGACCACUAUAGAGAGAAGAGAGAUUGAUUUAAUUGUGAGGUGUGUUUGAUUCACCCCAUUGUUCCUUUAUUUAUAGUAGUAGGAAGGAUAAAACCUUUCCCUUUAUGAUUACAACAUUUAAUAGGUAAUCUAGUCCUAAUAGGAAUAUAAGAUACUUUUCCAGAUUCCCUAGGAUUUACACAAUUACAUUCCUAUUCUAAAUAUGACUGCAACAGUAAUCAAUUGUUGUUUGAUUUUCUUUGUCAUCUUUUAUAUAAGAAAAUACGAAUAUUUGGGCCUGGGUUCUAUAAACCCCACUUCUCUCUCGCUGACUCACAGCCCAGCCGAUCAAAAUAAUAAUUUUUGUUUUUACUUAAAGCUCCAUAUUUUUAUGGUCGUUCUCUAAACUUUCACACAAAGCAUCUGAAGCUACCCACUAUCAUUAUAUUCGUCUUUUAUAUAUUGCCUUUUUACAGUUAUUAUAAACCUAAAGUUCAUAAUCCGAACCUAAAGUUUCGGAAAAGUUUCUUAACACACACCACUCAUGUUGAGAUCCAAAAUUCUCCAUGAUUAAUCAGUUUAAACCAAACCAUGUCUUAGAACCCGAAUGUUUUAACUUUGGUGCUCAUGGAGAUUUUAUUUCCCACAGCACCAAUCACAAUAUUGUUUCCUCCAUUCAGCGAAUUGUCAAACUGCAUUUCACUGACUUGGACGUUUUGAUUAAAAACUGUUUUAUGUGAACACCAAAUGUGACACUCUGCUUGAUUACGAAAAGCUGCGAAACCAUUAAUUGUAGCCAACUAUGGUGUGGAAGAGCUCAAUAAGCCUCCGCAUAAUAUUCAUUCGAAGACUUUUGCUUAAAGCAUUACACAUUGAAGUACCUCACUAAUAAGGAUUUCCUGGCCCUUUGACUCACUUUUACGAACCGUUCCAAUCAUGCAAAGAUGAUAUCUUGCUUGAAGCAAGACAUUAUUAAAAUCUUUAUGUCCAUGAAUAGGUAAAAUUUUAAAGUUUAUAUCCGAUCGAAUUUUAACUGGAGAAGAUUUUUUCUCGUCCUUCCAUGUCUAACUUGCUCUUGCAGCAGCAUUGUAGAAAGCAAAAGUUUCCAAAUUCUCGGAUCUGUUUACUACCACAAAUGUGAGAGAAAGGUACCCAAUGAUUCCGCUAGGAUGCACCAAAUGGUAAAGAUUCAAUUUCUCCUAGAGUCUACCGAAUGGUUCUACCCUGCUUUGGCAAGGAUGCACCAAAAACAUACUCUGCUUUCGAGCUUGUUUCCCAACAUAUGGUAGAAUCAGGCCUGUUAAGGGAUGCAAUCACAAUCAAAAGCGUGAUCCUUAGCACCUAAGACCUAAAACUUCAAGAAUAAGGGACAAUCUUCCCAAAACCCUGCAGAAUUUACUUCCACUCUGACGGAAUAUAUCAUUGGUUAUACACUUGUCCGUACUCCUACCAAUGUUGUUGAGGAGUCUCAUUCCCGUAGUCAAUCCAUGAGACUAAUUUUGCUCCACCUAACACAUUUUGAAGAGCAAAAUUUUGACAUGGAAGGCCACAUUGGCCAAACUCCCUAGUAGAUUUGGUUUACUUGUUAACAAUAUCAUAUGUUCCUGGAUUUACGUUUGGUGUUUGGAUAACAUUAUUAUUCUCGAAUACGAGUUAAUUGAUGAAAGUUAAUAUAUGUGACGAUUUCAAUUAAGUGAUGCUUAGGUAUCUUUUGUGGGGAAGUUAGCUAUGUGGUUCUAUAUGCUAACUUCAUACCUAAUCAUCCACUGACAUCCCUUUUAGACUUAUCCAACCUGAUUGUGGGGCAUGGCACUGCCUUAUGUUGUCAAUGAUACAAAUGUUACCUAGUGUUCUAAAAAACAGCAUAGGCAAUGGAGUUAACCCUAAACAUUUCAUACAAAUUCUCUUGAAGAAAUGUUGGUGUACACGUUUAUAUAAGUAAAUAGUAUUUUAGAAGAAGGAUAAUCAAGUGGUCAUUAAAUAUGAGAUAUAUCCCGAAAAGUAGUCAACAAUAUGAAACACACAUCAAUUAAAGAGGUUUUAUUUUUUUUUAUUUUUUUUUUGACAAGAAACGAUAGCGUAGUAUUUCAUUAAUCAACACAAACAAUUACAAGGGUGUCAUUGGGUACAUAACUCCAGUGACAAAUAAAUUGAUCUAGUGUGAAUUUGCAUAGACAGGCAAAUAAGAGUAAACUAGUAGACAACCACAAGCACAAACACACAAUCACCAAGUGCACAAGUGCUACCAGUACAGAUUUGUCAUAAUAAAUGAUAAUCGCAACAGAGAAAUACAGGCAACCACAAUGGUCAUCACUGAAUAGCGAGGCCACAUAAAGUCAUCGCGUUAGAGUGAGACCACACCAAGCCAUAGUUGACAGACGAGACUACAUCACGUAUCGCACAAAGGUGAAGACCAAUCUAGCCAAAACAUCAGCGCCACCUUGGUCCACAUAAGGCGAGUGGAACACAACUAGACUACACCGAGAAGGGAUAUGUUGGUCAACUCAUCACAGUAGGGGAUAAUGCACUUAGACCCAGGCCAUCUACAAAUACACCGAACAAUGGGGUACCAACAUCCACACAUCGAAAACCAUAAGAGCAAGCGUAACAGACAGCGAAGCCGUCAGGUCCAAGACACACAAGCCAAGUCACAUCGAGAUGUACAAGUCGAGCCACCAGAUCAAGCUGAGCCGCACAAACGAGCCGCAAAAGUCGAGCCGCCAAAUCUUUGUGCACAAGUUAGUGCAUCCACCCAAACCAGGCAAGGAAGGUGACACCACCAUGGAAUCAAGUUGACGAAGGUGGAUCCAACCCAUCUGCAACAUAAAUCCAAACCCCACACCAAGAAAACGAACGCCAAAUCAAAGAAAAUCUUGAAAGGGCAUGGCCCGAGCCAGGGUAUAAGGCAUAAAUCCAUGGAAAUCUGCACCCAAAAUGAUGGGAGAGAAGCACGGGAGGUGAGAGGAGGUAGGUAAUGGCCGGGAAGGAGUGCUCGGCGUGAGGUGGGGAGGGGAAGUCGCGUAUGGCUAGGGGGAGAAGGCUGGGAUGGGGAAGAGGGGGAAGAGGAAGGGAGGAAGGGCUAGGAGAAGGAAGGGAGAGGCUGCCACUGGCCCCCAGCCAUAGCCAGAGGCUGGCGACGAUGGAGGUAGACACCUAGGGUUUGAUUGGGAGAGAGGUUAUAAAUAUGUGAUUGGUAAGCCUUUC
rnacentral:lncRNA from 1 species